UGAGGAAUAUUGGUCAAUGGGCGAGAGCCUGAACCAGCCAUGUCGCGUGCAGGACUACGGCCCUACGGGUCUUAAACUGCUUUUGCCGGGGGAUAAAGUCGGGGGUUCGCCCCCCGUUCGCAGGUACCCGGCGAAUAAGGAUCGGCUAACUCCGUGCCAGCAGCCGCGGUAAUACGGAGGAUCCGAGCGUUAUCCGGAUUUAUUGGGUUUAAAGGGUGCGUAGGCGGCCUGUCAAGUCGGCGGUGAAACCCCCGGGCUCAACCCGGGGACUGCCGUCGAAACUGACGGGCUUGAGUACGUUGGGAGUGCGCGGAAUGUGUGGUGUAGCGGUGAAAUGCUUAGAUAUCACACAGAACACCGAUCGCGAAGGCAGCGCACUACGCCGUAACUGACGCUGAGG
rnacentral:rRNA from 1 species